rnacentral:rRNA from 1 species
UUGAUUUUACUUCAAACUGUUAGACGGAUAGCUUGGUUUGGACGGCGAUGAAGGACGUGGCAAGCUGCGAUAAGCCUAGGGGAGCUGCAUGCAGGCUUUGAACCUAGGAUUUCCGAAUGCAACAACGUACUAUUUAUAGUAUGCCGAGAGGCAAGCAAACGCAGGGAAUUGAAACAUCUUAGUACCUGCAGGAAGAGAAAACAAUUGUGAUUCCCCCAUUAGCGGCGAGCGAAAAGGGAAUAGGGCAAACUGAAUCUCCCGUCGAAAGAUGGGCAGAGAUGUGGUGAAGGUCAGUGGCUUCAUUAGUGAGUCGAAGUGGUCUGGAACGACACUCCGUAGAGGGUGAUAGUCCCGUAGACGAAACUAAUAUGCCGCUCUUCGAUAGAGUAGGAUCCCUUAGAUAAGAGGUCCGAAGACGGCGGGAUUAACCGCCAACCCUAAAUAAUCGUCCAAGUCCGAUAGCGAACUUAGUACCGCGAGGGAAAGCUGAAAAGUACUCUUAAACGAGGGUUAAAAGACUUGAAAUCUAACAGUGACAUGAAGGUUACGGCAUUAAGGUGUCGUAACGUGCGUUUUGAAAAAUGAGCCAAGGAGUUGACGUUUGUGGCGAGGUUAAUUAAAGAAGCCGAAGCGAAAGCGAGUCUGAAAAGGCGUUAGUCACCGGCGUCAGACACGAAGCCAGAUGAUCUACUCGUGAGCAGGACGAAGUUCUUCGAAAGGAGAAUGGAGGUCCGAACUAGUGCUACAUGCAUGUGCUUGGAUGACUUGUGAGUAGGGGUGAAAAGCCAAUCGAAUCUGGCGAUGGCUUGUUCCUGUCGAAGUAUGCCUCAGUAUAGCCUUGUUGUGCUGGUGAGCGUGGUAAAGUACGGAUAAAGUCUGCAGAGCCGACUGGCUACGGGACUUUCUUCCAACUCAGAACAUGUUUACUGUAUACAACAGGAGUGGGGGCCGGUGCGUAAGGUACCGUUCCGAGACCCGAACAAGGGAGACCAAAGUUAAGGUCCCAAAAUAUAUGCUAAAUGUAUCAAAGGUAGUCUUAAACCUGAGACACUAGGGAUGUAGGCUUAGAAGCAGCCAUCAUUUAAAGAAAGCGUAACAGCUCACCUAUUGAGGUUUGAGGCACCGAAAAUGGACGGGGCUAAGCAUAUUACCGAUACUUUGGAGGUACUCGUAAGAGUAUUCUGGUAGGCAGGCGUGCUCUUUGCGUAGAAGUCCUUCCGAGAGGAAAGAUGGAGCGAGGAGCAAUGAAAAUCUUGGUGGAAGUAAGAUCUAAUUAUUCUGAGAACGAAUAGCGUCGUAAGAGCAAGGUUUCCUUGGCAAUAUCGAUUAACCAAGGGUUAGUCAGCACCUAAGCUAUAUCUUAACUGCGUAUGGCGACGGACAUCAGGUUAAUAUUCCUGAACUUUCUAUAUUCGUUUAGUGCACGAAUUACUUCGGGAUAAGCGGCAUUCCGAAAGGAAUGCAGUAUGCGAAAUCAGUGGAGCGUAAUGCUAAGAGGCUGAUGAAUCGUACUGGACGACCCGUUAAUUCCUAGAGUCCAUGAAAAGUUUGUGCAUAGAAUGUAGCAAGCUGUACUAAGAACUGACACUGGUGCUCUAGCUGAGAAGGCUAAGACGUGUAAGGAACAAACUGGUUAAGGGAAUUCGGCAUAUUGGCCCUGUUUCUUCGGUAGAAGGGGUGUCUAUAGCUGUCUUUGAUAUGUAGAAGGCAGCAGUAGAUUGCAAUAACAAAGAUCGCCCGACUGUUUAUCAAAAACGUAGCCGAUUGCAAAUCCGAAAGGACUAGUAUAAUCGGUGAGACCUGCCCAGUGGUGGUGCUUCAAACCCUCGUACAAGAGGGCUAAGACCCAUCAAACGGCGGGCCUAACUAUGAGGCUCUUAAGGUUGAAUAGAAAACUAAACUGCCUUACAUCAUUUUAAGUGAUGCUCGAGGCUAAAAUAGUGAUUUUUGUAAACAUAACAUAAUAAACCAAAUCGAGAAAAUCUAGCUAUAUGCUGGAACAUCUGAGUAUACUUAGAUACUAGAAAUAGUAAAAAUUCUAAGUUGCAGAUUAUCAGCAGGAAAGACUUCUUAAUUUAAGAAGAAUCCUCAGAGAUCAUACGCUAGAAGCGAAAUAAAAUUCGUUAAGAUAUGAUCCGAUCCUUAUAGCGAUAUAAGGUGUGCGUUAAUAAUUUAAUUAGCGACAGUAAAACUUCAAUGAGCGUAAUGCCUUGUCUUCUGAAUGGAGACGUGCAUGAAUGGUUUAACGAGGUGGUCACUGUCCCUAACCAGGUCCUUCUGAACUCACUGACCGGCGAAAAUGCCGGUGUCGCCUAGUGGGAAGUGAAGACCUUAUGAACCUUUACUGCAGCUUGUUGUUGUAGCUUUCAGGGACAUGUAUAGCGUAGGUAGGAGCUUCGGCGCCAAUGUAACACUACCCAUGCCUCUGAAAGUUGCUCACCCGAGAGGGGACACCAACUGGUGGGCAGUUUGGCUGGGGCGGCACCCUGCCGAAAAGAUAUCGGUAGGGCCUAAUGGUAAGCUCAUCCAGGUUGGAAAUCUGGAGUUGAGUGCGAGGGCAAAAGCUUACCUGACUGUAUUUUGCACAGCAAGAAAUGCAGAGAUGAAAGUCGGGCCUAGCGACCCCACGUAGCUUUUUAAUAGGGCUCGUGUGUGGCAGAAAAGGUACUCUAAGGAUAACAGGCUUGUCGCGCCCGAUAGUCCAUAUUGACGGCGCGGUUUGGUACAUCGCUGUCGGCUCUUCCUAUCCUGGUUGUGCAUAAGCAACCAAGGGUGUCGGAGUUCACGCAUUAAAAGGGAUCGUUAGCUGGGUUAAGAACGUAGACAUAAAGCAACGAAAUCCUGACCAAAACUUCAACUUUGUUGAAGUUCCCGCAGAAUAAACUUCUGUGAGGAUCGCAAACUAUCAAAAAACGCGGCGUUGUAUGCGAGCGAUCGCAUAAAAAAUUUAAUCAGCUCAUAUCGGAGAAACCUGUCUUGAGACUGGUAACCCCGAGGGAAGAUCUUUUAGAUCCCCGUAGAGACUUCAAUUUUUUUAUGUUCGUAAGAACGUAAAAUAGGAAACGUCAUUCCAAAAAGAUUGGGAAUUACUUGAGAGGUUUGAUGAACUUCAAGAAUUAAGAAUUCUAAGUAAUUAAGACGCUGAUCGCUCAAACUCUUUUAGGGUUUGAGAUGAAGGUAUAGUCCAUCCAACGAAAAAAAAUAAUCGUUGAUUAAGAUACGCGAGACAGUUUGUAUAAUAUCUACUAGGCGCGUAAUUGUCUGAGUGGAACGAGUAUCUAGUACGAGAGGAACGGUACUCGGGUGCCUCUAGUGUAGCGGUUGUUAUGAGCAGGCCGCGUAGCCACGCACCGGGAGAUAAGUACUGAAAGCAUCUAAGUACGAAGCUCUCCGCAAGACGAGACAAUUGAGGCCGUCAAAGAAGAUGACGUUGAUAGAGUUGGUGUGUAAGAUCCAAGAACACGAGGAUUUCAGCACGCAACUACUAAUAGCCUCACUUUUGUAUAUA